CUUGUCUGCAGCACGGUGCUCCCAGCCUCCAGUCCCUGCCAGCGCAUCCAGGCACAUCCAGCACCGGCUCUGGCAUCCCAGGUGCUCAGGCCGUGUGGCUGUGGUGGACUGCUCUGGACUGAUGGAUUGCCCAGUUUUUGCAGCUGAUGGAAGCAGUGUCACCUGCCCAGCCCAGCAGGAGUGGCUGUGAGUCAGCAGGUGUCUGUCCAGCAGCACCGUGAGUCAGCACCCGCAGCUCCUGCAGGCUGCAGCUCUGCACCAGUGACCUCCAGGGCUGCAGGCUGCCUCCAGCCCUGCUGCUGCCCUUCUAAACACACAACAGAGGAAAUGCCUUGUGAGCUUCGGGAGAAAAAUACAUUCCUUGUUGUGGAGGUUUAGUGAAGCUGCAGUCUCUGUUGGGAUAAAUGAUAAAUAAAGGUGUUGGUCUCACACUG